rnacentral:rRNA from 1 species
AUUGAACGCUGGCGGCAGGCCUAACACAUGCAAGUCGAGCGGAUGAAGGGAGCUUGCUCCUGGAUUCAGCGGCGGACGGGUGAGUAAUGCCUAGGAAUCUGCCUGGUAGUGGGGGAUAACGUCCGGAAACGGGCGCUAAUACCGCAUACGUCCUGAGGGAGAAAGUGGGGGAUCUUCGGACCUCACGCUAUCAGAUGAGCCUAGGUCGGAUUAGCUAGUUGGUGGGGUAAAGGCCUACAAAGGCGACGAUCCGUAACUGGUCUGAGAGGAUGAUCAGUCACACUGGAACUAAGACACGGUCCCGACUCCUACGGGAGGCAGCAGUGGGGAAUAUUGGACAAUGGGCGAAAGCCUGAUCCAGCCAUGCCGCGUGUGUGAAGAAGGUCUUCGGAUUGUAAAGCACUUUAAGUUGGGAGGAAGGGCAGUAAGUUAAUACCUUGCUGUUUUGACGUUACCAACAGAAUAAGCACCGGCUAACUUCGUG